rnacentral:lncRNA from 1 species
GUCCAGGUGUGCGCUCACCUUUGCUCCGUCUGUGAGGGCGCACCCUUCUAUAGAAGUAAAUUGCCUUGCUGAGAAGAAAAAAAAGAAAAUUUUAUAUUCGAGUGCUAUUUCUUUUGCGGCACUGGGGGGAAACUUUAUUUAUAACAAUUUGGGGGCUUGCUCGUGAUUACAUUCCCCUUCAGGGGCAGUCUCUGGUUCUCUCUCCUGAGGAGGUAUGCCCCACCCUCUUGUGAUGGCCUCAGGGGUGAGAAAUCAGGACUCACCCAGUGCAAGAAAUAACCUGAGCUCUCAGCAAUGUGAAAAGAAACCAGCAGGCAACCUAGGGUAAAGCAUCCUCACACACUGCAGAGACAACUCUGUGCACAGACAAAGGAAGAAGCCGAGGGAGCCGUUUGUCUCUUCCAGAAUCAAAGCUGUAAAACUACAAAUUGUUCUUCAAAUGGAGCCCCAGAUGCAGCCCAUGACUAAGAUCUACUGUGGACCCCUGGACCAGCCUGCUAGCCCACGCUCCAAUGUUGAUGACAUCAAAGGCACCCCUCCCAAGUAAAUCUCAUCUGCACGACCCCUACUCACCCCAAUUCAGCAGGAAGCAGUUAGAGCAGUCGUCGGCCAACCUCCCCAACAGCACUUGGGUUUUCCUGUUGAGGGGGUUACUGAGAGACAGAACUAGCUGGAUUUCCUAGGCCAACUAAGAAUCCCUAAGCCUAGCUGGGAAGGUGAUCACAUCCACUUUUAAACACGGGGUUUGCAACUUAGCUCACACCCGACCAAUCAGGUAGUAAAGAGAGCUCACUAAAAUGCUAAUUAGGCAAAAACAGGAGGUAAAGAAAUAGCAAAAAAUCUAUCGCCUGAGAGCACGCGGGAGGGACAAUGAUUGGGAUAUAAACCCAGGCAUUCGAGUCAGCAAUGUCUACCCUCUUUGGGUCCCCUCCCUUUGUAUGGGAGCUCUGUUUUCACUCUAUUAAAUCUUGCAACUGAAAAAAAAAAUGUGGGGGGGGCGGGUAGAAUUUAUGUAAAAAGAAUGUUAUAUGGUAAAUUCAUGUCCUAAAA